UUAAAACUUUUUUAUUAUAUAUCCCAACAGACUUUCAAUAAUUCUUUGCUUGUUUCUACAAAGUAAGCAAACUUUAUCACUAUCGCAGAAGCAAGCAAAAGCAUCCGCAACCUCUCUGCCAUAACUGGCAAAACAGACAAAAACGCAGCAGAAAAAACGAGAGAAGGGAAUGGGAAACAGGGAAAGUCUUAGGGUGAUAAUAAUUUUCUGGAAUUCUGUCGUAAAAAUACAGGGACGGAUUGAGAAUUUAAUGAAAUUGAAAUGAAGACAUUUUUUUAAUUUUCCCUAUUGACAACCAAAAAAUGGAAAUACUCUAUUAAUAAGGAUUUGGCGCCCUUUAUAAAAAAAAGUAAAAUUUUGAAUUUAGUUUUGUUGUGGGUUUUUAUACUCAAGAGGAUUUGAUGCCCCUGACAAAAAAAAAAUAAAAUUUGAAUUUUGUUUUGAUUCAAGUUUUUUAUCGAUUUUUCUUCAAUUAAGAAAUUUAUUCGAAAACAGCCUCUAGAAGUUCCUCCAGGCCGUCCCUGGUGGUCCCUUAUACCCAGUUACUCACAGCCAUAGCAUAACCUAAAAACCACUUGUUAAAUUCUUCAUUUCUUUGUACUUUUUUUUUGUGUGUGUGUGUUUUACUUCUGAUUUUCUAGUUUGACUUCCUUGAUGAUGACGAUGAUGAUGAUGACGGUGCGGUGUGGCAUUGGUGUUGAAGAGGAUUUUCAAUUAAAAAUUCUUGCAAUAAGUCAGCAUGUUAAAUUUUUUAGUGUACACUUCCGAACUUUCGUCCCUUUCAACAGGAAUGUGCAGUGAUAAAAAAAAAUCAUGAAAUACUCUUAGCACUUAUUUAAGAUUUUAUAGAAGGUCCUUUUUUGUCCUUUCAGAACGAAAAAAAAAACCCAUGAAUUGUAAAAUAGUUUAUUAACAAUAAAAAAAAACUUAAAAAACGUAUCCUUGAUGUAAAUAAGUAAAAGAAAAAAAGUACCUAUCUUAGAAGAGUUUUUUGAUACCAAACUUUAAUACUUCCUUCAUGGAUCCUUUGAAGGAAAAAAAAAAAAAAAACAAAA